UAGCAGGCAUGAAAGCAACAUUAAUCUUCUUGUAUGUGUCUAUCAGAGCUCUUGGGUGACCAGCUGCAUUGUCAACGAGCAGUAAUAUUUUCAAAGGAAACUUUUUUUCUGAGUCUCAAUGGUGGGCUUACAAUAUUCAGUCAAUCACACUGUAAGCGGAUGUGCUGUCAACCAGGCUUUGUUGUUCCAUUUAUAGAACACAGGCAAAGUAGAUUUAGCACAAUUCUUAAGGGCCCUAGGAUUUUCAGAAUGGUAAAUGAGCAUUGGUUUCAACUUAAAGUCACCAGCGGCAUUAGCCCCUAAUGAGAGAGUCGGCCUGUCCUUUGAAGCUUAGAAGCCAGGCAUUGACUUGUCCUUUCUAACUAGGAAAGUCGCAGAUGGCAUCUUCUUUCAAUACAAGGCUGUUUCAUCUACAUUGAAAAUCUGUUGUUUAGUGUAGCCACCUUCAUCAAUGAUCUUAGCUAGAUCUUCUGGAUAACUUGCAGCUUCUACAUCAGCACUUGCUGCUUCACCUUGCACUUUAAGAUUAUGGAGAUGGCUUCUUUCAUUAAACCUCAUGAACCCACCUCUGCUAGCUUCCAGCUUUUCUUUUUUUUUUUAGACGGAGUCUCGCUCUGUCACCCAGGCUGGAGUGCAGUGGCAGGAUCUUGGGGCAGUACCUUCCUCAUGGAUUCCAGCACUACAGCUUUGUGCCAUCUGCAUCCCUUCAGACCUUUACGGGUAAGUUCUACGAUAAUCAUGGUAAUAAAAUGAUUCUUCUCAACCUUAGUCGCUCAUCGGAAUCACCUGGGAAGCUUUAAAAAAUACUGAUGCCUGUGUCACAACCCCAGGGCUACUGAUUCAGUUGAUUUGAGAAAUGGCCUGGGUGUUGAGAUUUUUUAAAAGCUCCCCAGGAGCUUUUAAUGUGCAGGCAAGGUUAACAAUCGCUGCUUAGACUGAAUACACUUUAUAUAGAAAUAAACCUACUUGUAUACAAUUUAAAAUUCCAUUUAGGUUGAUAAAUAUUUAUUGAGUGACUACUCUAUAUAAGGCAUGAAAAAAAACUCCUGACACAGUCCGUACCAACAAAUAGCCAAAACCUAAUGCAAGCAAGAGUGGGCUAGUGUAAGAGGGAGGGCAGGCAGGUACACAGAGGCUGUGUUCUGUACAAAGCACUGUAGAGGCCGGGUGCAG
rnacentral:lncRNA from 1 species